rnacentral:lncRNA from 10 species
UCACUUCAUCCCACCCCAGCCCUCAUCCUCAGGGAAUCUUCUCUGUUCCUCUGAGAGAGUAAAAAUACUAAGGGUGGAGAGGAUUGGCCAGAGCCUCGGGGAAGGCCAGACCCCGUACUGACCCCCUCCUCAGGUGCUCCCUCAGCAACCUCUAACGUCAACAUCUCCUCUUCAUGGAACAGAUGAGACAACUGAGGCUCCGAGAGGUGAAGUCCUGUGUCUGGACUGGGCUGUGUGUUGGCGUGUGCCUUCCCACAAAUCCUGUGACCCACCUCACCACUCCAUGCUGCCCCAGAAACAUGGGGCAAUGAUUUGUACAGGAAUCCCAGCAAGCAGAGCUUCUUCUAGAACUAACCAGGAGCUCGGUGUCUUCCUCAGACACUCAUAGUCCUCUCGAGCAAUUCCCCAGGCUGGACUCUGACUCAAGCUUCAGACAUUAAGCACCUUUGAAAGGCUGGAAAGUCACAGUCUACUCAUAUGUCACCAGAAGGCCUGGGCAAAAAAAGGAGGUAGAGAAAUAACCCCGGGAAUGAAGCAGGGGUUCUGCCCUCCCAGGGCCUGAGAAUUAAAAACUGUUUCAAAUCCUUGUUUCGUUCCUCUAGGAAAAAUUAAAGAAUUAAGCGAGGGCCUGGAAAACAAGGCUAGCAGGAAGUCGGAGGAACUGACAAACAACUGGGAAGAUGAAGCUACCGAGGAUGGGCUGCAGGAGCCAAGAAGUUAGAAUCUGCAAGCCUGCGCCGAGUGCUCCAGUCAGCCAGCACUAGAUGAUUUACUGCUGAAUCCAGCCCCUCUAUGGACCAGCCUCCAAGUCACAUGGACCGUAAGGAAUGGUUUGAGACCAUCCCAAGAAAUAUUUGGGCAGCUCAAGAGAUGCAGAAACUGUUGCCCAUCCCCAUGUUUCAAGAACAAACAAGUAAAAGCUAAACCAGGGCCAAGCGCUCUGAGACUCGCUCCCCGCCACCCAGCCCUAGCCCAGUGUCCCCUGGACAGGGCUCAUGCCCUGCUGAGCCCCUGAUGCUGAAGUCAGGGGAGAAGGAGCCCGCCUCAUUGGCAGGGGUCAUUCCUCACUGUUCAGGCAGUAAACUAAGCCUUCUUGUCAUUUAUGGCUAUUUUGUCACCUUUACCAUUGUCAUCAGUGGCUGGCAAGAAUAUCCACGUGAGUUGAAGUUUACUGUCUGUCCUUUUAUUCUUCUGUC